rnacentral:pre_miRNA from 14 species
AUUUCCCACUGUGCUUGAAAGACCCCCGGAGCGGGGAGACCCUCACUCAAAUCUCGGGAUGAUGCGACUCCCCAAGAACUCAAAUGAGACU